rnacentral:tRNA from 1 species
UGGGGUAUCGCCAAGCGGUAAGGCACUGGACUCUGACUCCAGCAUUUCGUAGGUUCGAAUCCUACUACCCCAGCCA